CCAGAACCUCGAGCCUGCUAGGCAAAUGCUCUACCACUAAGUUACAUCCCAGUCCUGUCAUUAAGUUCUGAUGAUAUCCUCCACAAGGUCAGAGUUCAAAGGAAGCUGAAGAAAUCAAGGAAGGCUCUAUGGAAGACCUUCCUGUGGACCCUAAAGUAUGAACAGGAGAACAGGUAGCAAGGAGAGAGGAAAGGGAGUGAGUAAAGUCAGGAAUAGAAGCCAAAAGAUGCUUUGUGUUAUGUUCUUUGUAUUGCCCAAUACUUGUGAGAUGAAUGAAUAAAAGUUUCUUUAAAUAAAUCAAAAGCAGAAAGCCAGGAAGGGAAUCAGUGGGACCCCCUGAUGCCAUGAUGCAAAAUGGGUAAGAAAGACAUGAAAAAAGCUGGGCGUGGUGGAGCACCCCUGUAAUCCCAACAGCUCAGGAGGCUGAGACAGGAGGAUCACGGGUUCAAAGCCUGCCUCAGCAAAAAAAAUCAAGGCACUAAGCAACUCAGUGAGACCC
rnacentral:lncRNA from 1 species